rnacentral:tRNA from 1 species
AUUUAAGUAGUUUAAUAAAAAUAUUAAUUUGUGGAAUUAAAGUUAUAUAAUAUAUCUUGAAUA